CCUACGGGGAGCAGCAGUGAGGAAUAUUGGUCAAUGGGCGGAAGCCUGAACCAGCCAAGUAGCGUGCAGGAUGACGGCCCUACGGGUUGUAAACUGCUUUUAUACGGGAAUAACGCGCCUUACGUGUAGGGCUUUGCAUGUACCGUAUGAAUAAGGACGGGCUAAUUCCGUGCCAGCAGCCGCGGUAAUAAGGAAGGUCCGGGCGUUAUCCGGAUUUAUGGGGUUUAAAGGGAGCGUAGGCCGCAUGUCAAGCGUGCUGUGAAAUGUCCGGGCUCAACCCGGGCCUUGCAGGUCGAACUGGCGUGCUUGAGUCCGCGGAAGGCAGGCGGAAUUCGUGGUGUAGCGGUGAAAUGCUUAGAUAUGACGAAGAACCCCGAUUGCGAAGGCAGCUUGCUGCAGCGGAACUGACGCUGAUGCUCGAAAGCGCGGGUAUCGAACAGGAUUAGAUACCCCUGUAGUC
rnacentral:rRNA from 1 species